AAAUACCUCUUGGUUUGAGGACUGUCGUGCGCAAGCCGGCUUUCCUUGCACUUUCCAGUCUAUGUUUUAUAAUAUACACCUAAAGUAUGUUUCAGAAUGUCAUUUAAUGGGCAUAACUGCCUUUAAUUACCAUACAACUUUCAACAACGGAUCUCUUGGCUCUCGCAUCGAUGAAGAACGCAGCGAAAUGCGAUAAGUAAUGUGAAUUGCAGAAUUCAGUGAAUCAUCGAAUCUUUGAACGCACCUUGCGCUCCUUGGUAUUCCGAGGAGCAUGCCUGUUUGAGUGUCAUUAAAUUCUCAACCUUUUCAAUCUUUUAUUGGUUGAAUUAGGUUUGGAUGUGGGAGUCUUUCUGCUGGCUUCUUUAAGAGGUCGGCUCUCCUUAAAUUUAUUAGCAGGACCUUUGUUGCCCUCUCAGCGUUAGUGUGAUAAUUAUCUACGCUAUUUGCUGAAAGCAACUC
rnacentral:rRNA from 1 species